rnacentral:rRNA from 1 species
CUACGUAGGGGGCGAGCGUUGUCCGGAGUGAUUGGGCGUAAAGGGCGCGUAGGCGGCCCGGUAAGUCUGGAGUGAAAGUCCUGUUUUUAAGAUGGGAAUUGCUUUGGAUACUGUCGGGCUUGAGUGCAGGAGAGGUAAGUGGAAUUCCCAGUGUAGCGGUGAAAUGCGUAGAGAUUGGGAGGAACACCAGUGGCGAAGGCGACUUACUGGACUGUAACUGACGCUGAGGCGCGAAAGUGUGGGGAGCAAACAGGAUUAGAUACCCUGGUAGUCCACACUGUAAACGAUGAAUGCUAGGUGUAGGGGGUAUCGACCCCUUCUGUGCCGCAGUCAACACAAUAAGCAUUCCGCCUGGGGAGUACGGCCGCAAGGUUGAAACUCAAAGGAAUUGACGGGG